ACAAUGGGGGGAACCCUGACGCAGUGACGCCGCGUAUAGGAAGAAGGUUUUCGGAUUGUAAACUAUUGUCGUGAGGGAAGAAAUUGACAGUACCUCAGGAGGAAGCUCCGGCUAACUAUGUGCCAGCAGCCGCGGUAAUACAUAGGGAGCAAGCGUUAUCCGGAUUUAUUGGGUGUAAAGGGUGCGUAGACGGGAAAUUAAGUUAGUUGUGAAACCCCUCGGCUCAACUGAGGAACUGCAACCAAAACUAUUAUUCUUGAGUGCAGGAGAGGAAAGUGGAAUUCCUAGUGUAGCGGUGAAAUGCGUAGAUAUUAGGAAGAACACCGGUGGCGAAGGCGACUUUCUGGACUGUAACUGACGUUGAGGCACGAAAGUGUGGGGAGCAAACAGG
rnacentral:rRNA from 1 species